UCCUGUUUUCCCGUCCGGAGCUCUCGUGUUCUUGUCUCUCCAGUUUUCACCCUUUAGUGUUAUUCAGUUUUUACCCCCUCUUUAGUGUUUAUGUUUUGUCUUUUUUUUGUCUGGUUAAGACUCUUUUUAUAUUAAAUACUAUUUUGGUUUAAACCUCUGCAUCCUGGGUCCAUCUGCUUCCACACAUCCUGACAGAAGACUUGGAACUGUAAUUACUUAGACUUUAGUGUUCAUCAAAAAGCUUCAGGCCUCGGUUAAGCUUCAUGAAGAGGAGGACGACACCACUUUCUGGGGUCAAGCAUGCAAGGAUCUUGGAACUGCUAAUAGGAACAGGGUUAAACAUGCCUAUCACCGACACACAAAGAUCAAUGAAGCACUGAGCCCUCCACAAAAAGCUGGACCAGUUUCCCCACAGCCUGAUGACAUUACUGCGGAGCCAGUACACCAACAUACAUCGACAUCUCCAGCGGAAAAUGCUGAGGAUAAUAUUGCAAUGGUCAAUAAUGACAUAAUUGUUAUGAAAUAGUGAAUACUGCAUCAGUUGUUUCUAAUCAAGGGGAUUGAAAGAUGUACAAAAGAACGUUUAGGUCUCUAUUAAAUAAUACCCUGUUACAACAAUGUGCAUAUACUGUUAUUAGGCAACUUGUUUACUAAUGCUGAUAAUGUUUUACUGUCCUUUGCAGUUACAUUUUACACGAGCCACAGCUGGUGCCAAAUCAAAAAUAUUACAAAAUAUAACACUUAUUGAACAGAGCAUAAUUCAAUGUAAUCAAAGAAUAUGAGGGGACGAAACUACAUCUAAAUACAUCUCUUCAUUGUAAUAUUUUAUAGAAAAACUAAUUUUUAGGCAUUAUCCCUAUAAAAGAAUAAGAAACAAAAAGCUAGGCACAACAAACAGAGUCUUUCACGCUGCGAUCAAAAGAAAUGGAAAAUAUCGCUGUUGGACAGUUACAGUUCCAAAAAAAGGGGACUAGUCAUAGGAGUGGGAACAGAAGCAUAUCAGUCUGUCUCUGAGCUUAUUGAGCAAAGUGUUUUUUACAGCACUUUGAUGUAUCCAGAAAUUAACUGAUUUGAUUGUACACAU